rnacentral:rRNA from 1 species
GACGAACGCUGGCGGCGUGCCUAACACAUGCAAGUCGAACGGAAAGGCCCUGCUUUUGUGGGGUGCUCGAGUGGCGAACGGGUGAGUAACACGUGAGUAACCUGCCCUUGACUUUGGGAUAACUUCAGGAAACUGGGGCUAAUACCGGAUAGGAGCUCCUGCUGCAUGGUGGGGGUUGGAAAGUUUCGGCGGUUGGGGAUGGACUCGCGGCGUAUUGGCUUGUUGGUGGGGUAGUGGCUUACCAAGGCUUUGACGGGUAGCCGGCCUGAUAGGGUGACCGGCCAGACUGGAAGGGAGACAGGCCCCAUAGGACUACGGGAGGGACCAGUAGGCAAUCGGGGGCAAUGGGCGGGAAUAUUACACAAUGAGCGGAAGCCUGUUGCGGCAACGCUGCGUGCGGGAUGCCGGCCUUCGGGUUGUGAACAGCUUUCGCCUGUGACGAAGCGUGAGUGACGGUAAUGGAUAAAGAAGCACCGGCUAACUACGUG